AUUUAAAUAGCUUAUAUAGAGCAUAAUAUUGAAGAUAUUAAGGAAAUAAUUUUUUAUUUUUAAAUA
rnacentral:tRNA from 1 species